rnacentral:rRNA from 1 species
GUGCCAGCCGCCGCGGUACUACCGGCAGCCCAAGUGAUGGCCGCUGUUAUUGGGCCUAAAGCGUCCGUAGCUGGCCGCACAAGUCCGUCGGGAAAUCCGCCCGCUCAACGGGCGGCCGUCCGGCGGAACCUGUCCGGCUUGGGGCCGGAAGAUCCGAGGGGUACGUCCGGGGUAGGAGUGAAAUCCCGUAAUCCUGGACGGACCGCCGGUGGCGAAAGCGCCUCGGAAGGGCGGACCCGACGGUGAGGGACGAAAGCUGGGGUCUCGAACCGGAUUAGAAACCCGAGUAGUCC